GACGUAGGGCGCGAGCGUUGUCCGGAUUUAUUGGGCGUAAAGAGCUCGUAGGCGGCUUGUCGCGUCGACCGUGAAAACUUGGGGCUCAACCCCAAGCCUGCGGUCGAUACGGACAGGCUCGAGUUCGGUAGGGGAGACUGGAAUUCCUGGUGUAGCGGUGAAAUGCGCAGAUAUCAGGAGGAACACCGGUGGCGAAGGCGGGUCUCUGGGCCGAUACUGACGCUGAGGAGCGAAAGCGUGGGGAGCGAACAGG
rnacentral:rRNA from 1 species